UAAGAAGGAAGUGGCUUUAUUUGGCCAGGAGCAUCAGCAGACUUGCAUGUCAAGAACUGAGCUCUCUGAAGAAAGAGUUCCUGGCCCUUUUAAGAACUUACAACUCUAAGGGGUUCACGUGAAAGGGUUGUGAUAGAUUGACAUUCAGAGAUAGCAUAUGUGAUUAGAGGGGGGCUAAUCUUUAACCUCUCUCUUCAUUCCCCCAUUUGAGAACCUUACUCACUAGUGGGAGGUCUCACUCUCAUCUUCACUACCCAGGUCUUUCUGCAAGACAGAUCGACAGUGAUUCAUGUAAUACACUUGUGUAUUACAAGACAUUCAUGUAAUACAUUUGUGCUGAAGUUUUCUGAUGAACCAAGGUAGUAACAAAACUUCUUAGAAGUUGGAGAAAUAUGGGUAACAAACAAAGGAGCAAUAGGAGGGUUGCAGCUGGAGAUCUGGGGAGGAGCUGGUGUUUUUUAGUUUGAGGGUCAUGCAGCUAUAGACCCUGGGAGGAGCAGGAGUUUCUUUAGUUUGAGGGUUGGGCAGCUGCAGAACCCGGGAGAAUCUGAUGUUCUGGUUUGAGGGUCCUGCAGCUGGAGACCCAGAGAGCAGCUGGUGUUUCUUUAGUUUGAUGGCCGUGCAGCUGUAGAACCCAGGGGGAGCUGGUAUUUUUCUAGUAUGAGUGUCCUGCAGCUGGAGACCUGGAGAAGAGCUGAUGUUCUAGUUUGAGGGUCGUGCCGCUGAAGACUCAGGGAGAAGCUGAUGUUCUCGUUUGAGGAUACUGCAGCUGGAGACCUGGAGAGGAGCUGAUGUUAUUCUAGUUUGAGGAUCAUGGAGCUUGAGAUCCACAGAGGAGCAGGUAUUGUUCUAGAUUGAGGUUCAUGUAGCUGAAGACCUGGGGAGCAGCGGGUGUUUUUUAGUUUGAGGGUCAUGCAGCUGUAGAACCCGGGAGGAGCUGGUGUUUUUCUAGUAUGAGUGUCCUGCAGCUGGAGACCUGGAGAGGAGCUGAUGUUGUUCUAGUUUGAGGGUUGUGCAGCUGAAGACUUGGAGGGGAGCUGAUGUUGUUCUUGUUGAGGGUCUUUCAGCUGGAGACCCAGAGAGGAGCUGAUGUGGUUCUAGUUUAAGGGUCAUGGAGCUGGAGACCCAGAGAGGAGCUGGUGUUGUUCUGAUUUGAGGUUCAUGCAGCUGGAGACAUGGAGAGGAGCGGGUGUUUCUUUAGUUUGAGAUUCAUGCAGCUGUAGAACCGGGGAAGAGCUGGCGUUUUUCUAGUAUGAGUGUCCUACAGCUGGAGACCAGGAGAGGAGCUGAUGUUCUAGUUUGAGAGCCAUGCGACUGGAGAUGCAAAGAGGAGCUGAUUUGGUUCUAGUUUGAGGGUCAUGGAGCUGGAGACCCAGAGAGGAGCUGGUGUUUCUUUAGUUUGAGGGUCAUACAGCUGUAGAACCCAUGAGGAGCUUGCAUUUUUCUAGUGUGAGUGUCCUGCAGCUGAAGACCUGGAGAAGAGCUGAUGCUUUCAAUUGAGGGUUGUGCAGCUUAAGACUCAGGGAGGAGCUGAUGUUCUAGUUUGAGGGCCAUGAGCUUAAGACCCGGGGAUGAGCUGAUGUUGUUCUGGUUUGAGGUUCAUGCACCUGGAGACCUGAGGAGGAGCGGUUGUUUUUUAGUUUGAGGGUCGUGCAACAGUAGAACCUGGGAGGAGCUUGUGUUUUUCUAGUAUGAGUGUCCAGCUGCAUGACCCUCAAACUAGAAACACCCGGGGAGGUUUUAUUAGUUUGCUGCUGUUUUUCUAGAUUGAGGGUCAUGCAGCUGGAGACGUGGGGAGGAGCUGAUGUUGUUCGAGUUUGAGGGUCAUGGAGCUUGGAGACCCAGGCAGGAGCUGGUGUUUUUCUAGUUUGAGGGUUGUGCAGCUGGAGACCCAGGGAGAAGCUGAUGUUGCUCUUAUUUGAGAGCUGUGGAGCUGGAGACCUGGAGAGGAGCUGAUGGUGUUCUAGUUUGAUGGUUGCAGAGCUGGAGACCCAGGGAGGAGCUGUUGUUUUUCUAGUUUGAGUUUCGUGCAGCUGAAGACCAUUGGAGGAGCUGAUGUUCUAGUUUGAGGGUUGUGCAGCUGGAGAUACAGGGAGAAGGUGGUCUUGCAGUUUAAAUGUGAGGGUCUUGGAGCUGGAAUCCAUGGGAGGAGCCAAUGCUGCCACUGAUGUCUUAGGUUGUGGAGCUGAAGACCCGCAGAGGAGCCAGUGUUGGUGUUCCAGUGUGAGGUUCGUGGAUCUGGAGACCCACGGAGGAGCAGGUGUUGGUGUUCUAGUGUGAGGGUCAUGGAUCUGGAGAUCCAUGGGGGAGUGGUGUUCUUCUAGUUUGUGGGUUGUGGUGCUGGAGACCCAGGGAGGAGCUGAUUCUUUUGUUGUUUAAGUCUGAAGGUCGUCAAGCUGGAGAUCCGGGGAAGAGCUGGUGCUGCGAUUCAAGUCUGAGGGUCCUGGAGCUUGAGACCCCAGGAGGAGAUGGUGCUGCCACUAAUGUCUUAGAUUGUAAAGCUGGAGAUCUGUGGAGGAGCUGGUGUUUCUGUUCUAGUGUAAGGUUUGUGGAUCUGGAGUCCCAGGGGUGAGCAGUGUUGUUUUAGUUUGAGGGUCAUGGAGUUAGAGACCCGGGGAGGAGCUGAUGUUGUAGUUUGAGGGUCGUGCAGCUGGAGACCCAGGGAGGAGCUGGUGUGUUUCUAGUUGGAGGGUUGUGGAGCUGGAGAUUCAC
rnacentral:lncRNA from 1 species